rnacentral:misc_RNA from 1 species
GCCGAAGAAUAAGGGAAAGGGAGGCAAGAAUCGCAAGAGAGGAAACAACGAGGCCGACGAUGAGAAGUGAGAGCUCAUAUUCAAAGGAGACGGUCAAGAAUAUGCUUAGUUCCUCCGCAUGCUGGGCAACAGCCGCUGCGAAGCUCCAAACGCCUCUGCCACAUCCUAGGGAAGAUGCACAUGAAAGUUUGGAUCGCCGCCGGUGAUAUAAUCCUCGUCAUCCUUGGGAUUAGCAGGAUGAUAAAGCUGAUGUCAUCCUCAAGUACAUGCUAGAUGAGGCUUGGCUCUUGAAGGCUUAUAAUGAGUUGCCUGAUAACAUUGGGGUGAACGACGGGUUGCCGGUGGGAUCGAUGAUGAGGAUGAAGGUGCUGCGGGCGGUUACAUCGAGUUCGAGGACGAGGACAUCAAUAAGAUCCGAAGUCCUGUAUCGUGUAUGUAUCUAUCGAGAGUUUUCCACUUUUAAUACUCCAUUUAGAUUCUGCAUGGUUUUAAUUAUCACUAUAAUAUUAGUAUAAUUAUGGAUGUUGAAUGUGAUGCAAUGAUAGUCAGCUAGAUGUUCAUGAUCGUUCUUCAUAAUUGCUUCGUUUUACUUUAUUUUAAUUACAUCCUCUGACAUUGGUAUUAGUAAAUUAAGGUCGCUAUUUACUAAUGCUGAAUUUGAUAGGUACCGACUCCGCAUUCUGGUCCUGUUAUUGUUCUUUGUCAAGUGGAGGUAGUGCGAGUAAAAAGAGGCAACACUUGUAUGAAAAAUUAGGCAACCACACUCUACUUUUUAAUUGCCUGUGGUUUCUUAAUAUGCAUUCGGGCAACUCUAAUAUGGUCUAGAAUCGAGAUGAUAUAAAUUUCAGUGUAACUACAUUUACAUGCUUAUUCUUUGAUUGAGAUACUGCUAAUGGGAAUCAUUCAUCAUUGGUUAUCUUAUGAAAGGAAGCAUGCAAAAGCUGCAUUUAAUUAUGAUCUUAUAUGCAAGAUUGUAAUUGCUGCAUGGAUGUUACUGAUCCUUAUUACAAUAAUGAACUGGGAAAAUACAAGAGCACGAUUAAUACAGGGCUGUAGACUACAUUGCAAGAUACAAAUGUGUCUUAGAGCAAUGAUACAAACUACUGAAUUAAAACAAAGAUCUGGACUGGAAGGAAAGUUUGCCACUCAAUCAAGUGGAUUGUAUUCAGCUCCAGCAAUCUUCUUCUUUAGUGCUUCAAUAUCUGUUGCUAAUUCCUUUCUGCUUGACUGAGGAAGUAAAUAUAUUAUUUGUUAGGUUAAUAUGUCUGAUACACGUCAAAAAGAGAAUUAGGUUGCUCUGCUGUUUUUCAAACUGCUAAAAUCUGGUACAUGUAGAUUAUACUAAUGGCUCAAGCUAUAUUUGUUGCAGUUUCAACUUUCAACAUAAAAGCCAUUUCUAGAAAAUAGAAGCCAAAUAGCAAUUUAAAUUCUAGGAAUGGAAAAUGAGCCUCUCCUACAUGCAGAAUUUAAAGGAGGGAUGGAUACUUUUUGAUCCUAUUGCCUGCUUAAUUUGUUUCUUUUGGUUGAUCUAAGACUUACAACUUGCAUAAGAGAGCAAAUUAGUGCAGAUCAAGUAUGCAUAUUCUGUUACCUUGAAGAGAAGGUAUCUGUAGACAAACCAUCCAGUAUAUCCAAGUCCAACCAACUCCAUGAUCUUGGGCAGCUGGUAGAGGAGAAAGAUGAUAAAAUUAGAGAAUUAAUAAAGCAUGAAUCGCCUUGACAUUUGUUUCAAAAAUUGACCCACCAAAGGUACUGAGUUGAUGGCUCCCACAAGGAUUGAUGACAGCCAAACAGCAACUAUUGCUCCCCCUCCGUAGAGAAUCACCGUGGACUUGUUUUCAACUCCAUCCCACUAGUAACAAUAACCAACACUAAUUAUUUUAGUCCAACCAGGGAAGGAGAGAGAUAGAGAGAGACGCAACUAGCUUUGUUUCUUACCCUUUCCUUCAAGUCUGUGAAAAGCUCACUAGGGUCAACAGUCGUGGAUUCUUCUGAAGAGGCUCUAAUCUGAAGGAGAGACAACCUGCGGGACUCUACUUGAAAAGAAGCAGCGGCCAACUCACAUAUACUUUUAAGUUACUUGUCACUAGUCGUGGUUAGGUACUUAGAAUAGACAGAGAAAAACAGGAUGCUUAACUCACAGAAGAGCGACUCUAAUCUUAGACACACACAAGACACUUGAAAAAUCAUUUCUUAAUAAUUCCAUGCAUUAGAUUCGCUUUGCUUACAGAAAUGUCAAUCAUCAUUGGAAAGAAUAUCGUUGAUCCAACAGUUGAAAUCUCCUUCAUGAAGGAGCAUGUGAAUACUGAAUACAGAAUUAAGUUAGCAUGUGUUUUUCACAACCACGGUACGCACACGCAGGGUUGCCAAUUUGCUAUGAAAUCUAGUGUCCCAUUAACAUGUACGGCAACAAAAUACACGCUGAAGCUGAAUUGGGUUCAUUUGCUAUAACUGAGUCCUAUCAUCCUUCCUUGUAUGCCAAUUACACAUCACAUCACAAAUUUAUAUAGAAUUCCAUACCCAAUCUCCACCCAUAUGUAUAGGGGAGAGGAAGGUUAGUUAGCCGAGUAUACAAUUUUGAUCAGUCAAGAUGUGCAAGUCAUUCCUCAUGCAGCUCAUUGAUGCUUUAAUUUCAAUCUAUGCACUACAUUCCUUAAUUAUCAUCUAAGGUCUCUGGUAACAAUUCCCAAGAUAAUUUCCAGGCCAUUGUGGUAGCUGGCAAUAUCAAAACAACUAUUGCCAACAAAUUCUCCUUUUAUUGCUCUCCUCCGUAAGGUUUGUAAUCAGCACUAAGACAUUUCACAAAACACUAUUCUCUAUUCGUUGAAGCAAGUGGGAUUUGGCUGGUUUGCCUUUACAUUAUCACACACUAGCGGUAUAUAUGUGAAAAGGAGAAAAAGCGAGAGCAAACAGUACCUGAGACUUGUUUGAUGGAAGAGCGGAAGAAGUGCGAUGAUAAGCGAGUUGGGAGGUAAGGCAAGGCCAAGCAGCGAGUGGUUCUGCUGGCGGGCGGAAUGAAGGCGGCGGUGGUGACUGCCAUGGAAGAGGAGUAUGCUGCCGCCACAUAAACCGUCGCUGCCAUUGGGAUAUUGAUGUGUGGCUACCUAAACGCUCUGCUUCUAUCCUUUGUCCUCUCUCGACUUCGAUCGGUGUGUUUUUACUUUUUGAUUUUAUAUUAUAUUUUAAUUUAUUUGAAUUUUUUUAGUGUUUUGUUUAUGUAUCCAGUGAUGAUAUUUUUGUACCGAGUUUCUGACUCUUGAUAUGCGGAUGACACGUGCAGAAGUUUUACAUUUUGAUUGGCUGAUUCCCUAUCUGCAAUCCAGGUUUGAGGUGCGCGCUCUUUCCCUCAUGUAUCCCCUUGGCCUGGCCGAUGUUAGUUCCAAAUGUUACCAAACUUACAUAAACACUGAUCUAUGAAUUUUGUAAAUUUUAAGUAUUUAGUUGUAAUUUAUUCCAACGCUAUAAUUAUCCUACAUUAGUAAGCUGUAGUUUCAAUAAAUUUAUGAUAUAAGUAAAUUGGACUUCCUUAGCAGCUUCCUCGCGAGGACGUAAAAGGUGGCUAUCACCUAAUUUUUUUUUUAUAGAUUUCAUUAAGAAAAAUAAGUCAUU